UUCGCAAUGCCCGAAAGGGUGACGAAGCGACGCCGCGUGUGGGAAGAAGGCCUUCGGGUUGUAAACCACUGUCGGGAGUUAAGAAAUGCAAGGAUAUUAAUAGUGUCUUUGUUUGACUAAGGCUCCGGAGGAAGCCACGGCUAACUCUGUGCCAGCAGCCGCGGUAAUACAGAGGCGGCAAGCGCUGUUCGGAAUUAUUGGGCGUAAAGAGCACGUAGGCGGCUAUGUAAGUCGGUUGUGAAAGCCUUCCGCUCAACGGAAGAACAGCAUCCGAUACUACAUGGCUUGAGUGUGGGAGGGGAGAGUGGAACUUCUGGUGGAGCGGUGAAAUGCGUAGAUAUCAGAAGGAACGCCGGCGGCGAAAGCGGCUCUCUGGCCCAUAACUGACGCUGAGUGUGCGAAAGCUAGGGGAGCAAACGGGAUUAGAUACCCCGGUAGUCCUAGCCGUAAACGAUGGGCACUAAGUAGAGGGGUUUU
rnacentral:rRNA from 1 species